UACGGAGGGGGCCAGCGUUGCUCGGAAUUAUUGGGCGUAAAGGGCGCGUAGGCGGCCACCGCAAGUCGACUGUGAAAUCUCCGGGCUUAACCCGGAAAGGUCAGCCGAUACUGCGGGGCUAGAGUGCAGAAGGGGCAACUGGAAUUCUCGGUGUAGCGGUGAAAUGCGUAGAUAUCGAGAGGAACACCUGCGGCGAAGGCGGGUUGCUGGGCUGACACUGACGCUGAUGUGCGAAAGCUAGGGGAGCGAACGGG
rnacentral:rRNA from 1 species